rnacentral:rRNA from 1 species
GAUGAACGCUGGCGGCGUGCCUAAUACAUGCAAGUCGAGCGAACAGACGAGGAGCUUGCUCCUCUGACGUUAGCGGCGGACGGGUGAGUAACACGUGGAUAACCUACCUAUAAGACUGGGAUAACUUCGGGAAACCGGAGCUAAUACCGGAUAAUAUAUUGAACCGCAUGGUUCACUAGUGAAAGAGGGUUUUGCUGUCACUUAUAGAUGGAUCCGCGCCGGAUUAGCUAGUUGGUAAGGUAACGGCUGACCAAGGCGACGAUGCGUAGCCGACCUGAGAGGGCGACCGGCCACACUGGGACUGAGACACGGCCCAGACUCCUACGGGCGGCAGCAGUGGGGAAUUUUGGACAAUGGGCGCAGGCCUGAUCCAGCAAUGCCGCGUGAGGGAAGAAGGUCUUCGGGUUGUAACACGCUUUUGUACGGAACGAAAAGGAUCUGGCUAAUACCUGGGGCUGAUGACGGUACCUGAAGAAUAAGCACCGGCUAACUACGUG